rnacentral:rRNA from 1 species
AGUGAACGCUGGCUGUAGGCCUAACACAUGCAAGUCGAACGGCAACGCAGUAAGAGCUUGCUCUUACGUGGGGCGAGUGGCGGACGGGGGAGGGUUACAUCGGAAUCUACUUUUUCUUGGUUGGGAACAUAGGUACACUUACGCGAAUACCGCAUACGACCUACGGGUGAAAGCAUGGGAUCUUCGGACCUUACGCAAUGGAAUUAGCCGAUGUCGCAUUAGCUAGUUGGGGGGGUAAAGUACCACCAAGGCGAGGAUACGUAGCUGGUGUGAGAGGAUGAUAAGCUCCACUGGAACUGAGAUACGGUCCAGACCAAUAUGGGAGGCAGCAGUGGGGAAUAUUAGAUAAUGGGAGCAAGCAUGAUCCAGACAUACCGAGUGGGUGAAGAAGGCCUUCGGGUUGUAAAGCUAUUCUGUUGGGAAAGAAAAGCAGCAGGUUAAUACCCCGACGUUUUGACGGUACCCAAAGAAUAAGCACCGGCUAACUUCGUG